rnacentral:tmRNA from 1 species
UUGAAAUCAGCAGAAUUUUAUUUAUAAUAAUAAAUGUCAGACAACUGACUACGACACUAGAGGCGGUAUGGAAUAGGCUUUUUGGACCUGGGGGCAGUACCCAGCACCUCCACCAAUUUCAGAAUGCAGCAUCUGCGCUAAUCAACGCGGAAAAUGUUCUAGACGACUAUCAUACAAGCUUUAGGGGGUGAAACAGGAUAGACAGGAAGCAGUAAAGGUAUUAUGCUGUGUCCGGUGAGAUACCACCGUUAUCGGUUCAAAAUAAAUGAAUGCUAACGAUAAUAACGUAGCACCUGUUGCAAUCGCUGCUUAAGGCGAGCGUAACAAACGCAAAUCCUCAUAACUUUGGUUAGUUGUGAGUGGGGUCUGAGCCACCUAGCAACAGAACGGCU